AUUGAACGCUGGCGGCAGGCCUAACACAUGCAAGUCGAGCGAGCGGCGGACGGGUGAGUAAUGUAUGGGGAUCUGCCCGAUCGAGGGGGAUAACUACUGGAAACGUUGGCUAAUACCGCAUACUAUCCGAUGAGCCCAUAUGGGAUUAGCUAGUAGGUGGGGUAAAGGCUCACCUAGGCGACGAUCGCUAGCUGGCCUGAGAGGCUGAUCAGCCACAUUGGGACUGCGACAAGGCCCAGACUCCUACGGGAGGCAGCAGUGGGGAAUAUUGCACAAUGGGCGCAAGCCUGAUGCAGCCAUGCCGCGUAUAUGAAGAAGGCCUUAGGGUUGUAAAGUACUUUCAGCGGGGAGGCGUUACCCGCAGAAGAAGCACCGGCUAACUCCGUGCCAGCCGCCGCGGUAAUUC
rnacentral:rRNA from 1 species